rnacentral:rRNA from 1 species
GAGAGUUUGAUCCUGGCUCAGAACGAACGCUGGCGGCGCGUCUUAAGCAUGCAAGUCGAACGGUAAGAAGGAGCUUGCUUCUUCCUAGAGUGGCGGACUGGUGAGUAACGCGUGGAUGACGUACCCUUUUGACGGGGAUAGCCGAUAGAAAUAUCGGAUAAUACCGGAUAAUCCCUUUUGGGGUAAAGACGAAAGAGGAAAGCGGCUUCGGCCGCGCAGAAGGAACGGUCCGCGUCCUAUCAGCUAGUCGGCAGGGUAAAGGCCUGCCGAGGCGACGACGGGUAUCCGGCCUGAGAGGGUGGACGGACACAUUGGGACUGAGAUACGGCCCAGACUCCUACGGGAGGCAGCAGCUAAGAAUAUUCCGCAAUGGACGAAAGUCUGACGGAGCGACGCCGCGUGGAUGAUGAAGGCCGGAAGGUUGUAAAGUCCUUUUAUCCGUGAAGAAGAAGAUUAAGAGGGAAUGCUUAAUUGGUGACGGUAGCGGAUGAAUAAGCACCGGCUAAUUACGUGCCAGCAGCCGCGGUAACACGUAAGGUGCAAGCGUUGUUCGGAAUUAUUGGGCGUAAAGGGCAUGCAGGCGGUCGUGCAAGCCCGGCGUGAAAGACGGGGGCUUAACUCCCGAAGUGCGCUGGGAACUGCAGGGCUUGAGUUUCUGAAGGGCAGUCGGAAUUCCACGUGUAGGGGUGAAAUCUGUAGAUAUGUGGAAGAACACCAAUGGCGAAGGCAGGCUGCCGGCAGAAGACUGACGCUGAGGUGCGAAGGUGCGGGGAGCAAACAGGAUUAGAUACCCUGGUAGUCCGCACAGUCAACGAUGUGCACUAGAUGUCUGUCCACAAGGAUGGGUGUCAAAGCAAACGCGAUAAGUGCACCGCCUGGGGAGUAUGCCCGCAAGGGUGAAACUCAAAGGAAUUGACGGGGGCCCGCACAAGCGGUGGAGCAUGUGGUUUAAUUCGAUGGUACGCGAGGAACCUUACCUGGGUUUGACAUACACAGGGAUUAUGUAGAGAUAUGUAAGCGCAGCAAUGCGCCUGUGAACAGGUGCUGCAUGGCUGUCGUCAGCUCGUGCCGUGAGGUGUUGGGUUAAGUCCCGCAACGAGCGCAACCCCUACUGCCAGUUACCAGCGCGUUAUGGCGGGGACUCUGGCGGAACUGCCUGCGACAAGCAGGAGGAAGGCGGGGAUGACGUCAAGUCAUCAUGACCCUUAUGUCCAGGGCAACACACGUGCUACAAUGGUUGGGACAAAGCGAAGCGAGUGCGAGAGUACAAGCAGAACGCAGAAAUCCGAUCGUAGUCCGGAUUGGAGUCUGAAACUCGACUCCAUGAAGUUGGAAUCGCUAGUAAUCGCACAUCAGCACGGUGCGGUGAAUACGUUCCCGGGCCUUGUACACACCGCCCGUCACACCAUCCGAGUGGAGGGUACCCGAAGCCGGCAGUCUAACCGCAAGGGGGACGCUGUCGAAGGUAUGCUUCGCGAGGGGGGUGAAGUCGUAACAAGGUAGUCGUACCGGAAGGUGCGGCUGGAACACCCU